GAUGAACGCUGGCGGCGUGCCUAAUACAUGCAAGUCGAGCGAACAGACGCGAAGUUUGCUUCUCUGAAGUUAGCGACUGACGGGUGAGUAACACGUGGAUAACCUACCUAUAAGACUGGGAGAACUUCGGGAAACCGGUGCUAAUACCGAAUAACAUGUUCAACGGCAUGACUUAACAAUGAAAGACGGUCUUGAUGUCACUAAUAGAUGGAUCCGCGACGCAUUAGCUAGUUGGUAAGGUAACGGCUUACCAAGUCAACGAUGCGUAGCCGACCUGAGAGGAUGAUCAGCCACCCUAGAGCUGAGAUGCGCUCCAGACUCCUACGUGAGGCAGCACUAAGGAAUCUUCCGGAGAGAGCAAAAGCCUGACGGAGCAAAGCGGCGUGAGUGAAGCGGAGUUUCGGAGCGUAAAACUCUGUUGUUAGGGGAGAACAAAUGUGUAAGUUACGAUGCGCGUCUUGACGGUACCUAAUCAGAAAGCCACGGCUAACUACGUG
rnacentral:rRNA from 1 species